rnacentral:rRNA from 1 species
GACGAACGCUGGCGGCGUGCUUAACACAUGCAAGUCGAGCGGUAAGGCCCUUUCGGGGGUACACGAGCGGCGAACGGGUGAGUAACACGUGGGUGACCUGCCCUCAGCUCUGGGAUAAGCCUGGGAAACUGGGUCUAAUACCGGAUAUGACUCCAUGACGCAUGUUGUGGGGUGGAAAGCCUUGUGCGGCUGAGGAUGGGCCCGCGGCCUAUCAGCUUGUUGGUGGGGUGAUGGCCUACCAAGGCGACGACGGGUAGCCGGCCUGAGAGGGCGACCGGCCGACACUGGGACUGAGACACGGCCCAGACUCCUACGGGAGGCAGCAGUGGGGAAGUCUUGCGCAAUGGGCGAAAGCCUGACGCAGCGACGCCGCGUGAGGGAUGACGGCCU